GGAGACCGGGCCGGCGGAGGCGGCGGCGGCAACGGGCGGGGGAGGGGGCUGAUCCCGCGUCUCCCCUCAGCAAACAAUACAAGCGCCUCGGACCGAGUCCCCGAACCUGCCCCAGCCAAAAUGGCGGCCAAAAAAGAGCGGAAGUGACGUUAAAGAGGCUUUUGUAUACUGGAGAUAUAACCAAAAAAGGUCUAAGGUGACUUUACGCAGAAAUUGAAGGAUGAGCAGCAGAUGGUCAUCAAGGAGCAUGGAAACAGCAUUUCAGGCAAAGGAAAAUGGAACUCUGUGAACUCAGAAGCAUGCUUAUGGCAUGGAAAGCAAAAAGGAAGGAGCACAAGGCAGAGGUCAGAAAGGGAGGCAGGGGCCAACAAACACAUAGGGGCUUGAGGGACAAGGGAAGGAACUUGGAUUUUUCCCUAGAUGUUAGUGGGAACUCCCUGAACUCCCUGAACUGGAGGGACAAUAAUCUGAUUCUGUUUUUAUGUAUCUAGCUUAAACUCAGAACAGCUUCCAAAAUCUUAUUCACAGAGGUUUUGUGGUCUUUUGGGCUAAGAAUUUAAUUAUAUUGCCUACAAACAAAUAUAAUUGUGUAUAUUUUACUAACAUUUAACUAAAUUCUUGUCUUAUUGUAUUAACAUUUCCAUGUUUAAUGAUAGCUAGCAUGCCUGUAU
rnacentral:lncRNA from 1 species